rnacentral:misc_RNA from 1 species
AACGCACCUUGCACUCUUUGGUAUUCCGAAGAGUAUGUCUGUUUGAGUGUCAUGAAAUUCUCAACCCCCCUGUUUUGUAAUGAGAUGGGAGCUAGGGCUUGGAUAUGGUUGCUGCAGGCUCUUUAAGUAGAGCCAGCUCGACUGAAAUACAUGAGCAACCCAGUUUGAAAAGAAAGCGGCUUGACUCGACGUAAUAAUUAUUCGUUGAGGACGCUUACAUUUCAAGAUAGUUGGUGCUUCUAAUGCGUACUUUGGUACAACUUUAAACUUUAGACCUCAAAUCAGUCAGGACUACCCGCUGAACUUAA